rnacentral:rRNA from 1 species
CAGUCGAACGGUAACAUAAAGAAGCUUGCUUCUUUGAUGACGAGUGGCGGACGGGUGAGUAAUGCUUGGGAAUCUAGCUUAUGGAGGGGGAUAACUACGGGAAACUGUAGCUAAUACCGCGUAGAAUCGGGAGAUGAAAGUGUGGGACCUUCGGGCCACAUGCCAUAGGAUGAGCCCAAGUGGGAUUAGGUAGUUGGUGAGGUAAAGGCUCACCAAGGCCACGAUGCAUAGCCGACCUGAGAGGGUGAUCGGCCACACUGGGACUGAGACACGGCCCAGACUCCUACGGGAGGCAGCAGUAGGGAAUCUUCGGCAAUGGACGAAAGUCUGACCGAGCAACGCCACGUGAGUGAAGAAGGUUUUCGGAUCGUAAAACUCUGUUGUUAGAGAAGAACAAGGACGUUAGUAACUGAACGUCCCCUGACGGUAUCUAACCAGAAAGCCACGGCUAACUACGUGCCGGCAGCCGCGGUAAUACGUAGGUGGCAAGCGUUGUCCGGAUUUAUUGGGCGUAAAGCGAGCGCAGGCGGUUUCUUAAGUCUGAUGUGAAAGCCCCCGGCUCAACCGGGGAGGGUCAUUGGAAACUGGGAGACUUGAGUGCAGAAGAGGAGAGUGGAAUUCCAUGUGUAGCGGUGAAAUGCGUAGAUAUAUGGAGGAACACCAGUGGCGAAGGCGGCUCUCUGGUCUGUAACUGACGCUG